rnacentral:rRNA from 1 species
GUGAGGAAUAUUGGUCAAUGGCCGAGAGGCUGAACCAGCCAAGUAGCGUGAAGGAUGACGGCCCUACGGGUUGUAAACUUCUUUUAUAAGGGAAUAAAGUGCAUCACGCGUGGUGUUUUGUAUGUACCUUAUGAAUAAGCAUCGGCUAACUCCGUGCCAGCAGCCGCGGUAAUACGGAGGAUGCGAGCGUUAUCCGGAUUUAUUGGGUUUAAAGGGAGCGCAGGCGGACGCUUAAGUCAGUUGUGAAAUCCCGCGGCUCAACCGUGGAAUUGCAGUUGAUACUGGUUUUCUUGAGUGCGCGCGAGGAUGGUGGAAUUUGUGGUGUAGCGGUGAAAUGCUUAGAUAUCACAAAGAACUCCGAUUGCGAAGGCAGCUGUCCGGAGCGCAACUGACGCUGAGGCUCGAAGGUGCGGGUAUCAAACAGGAUUAGAUACCCUUGUAGUCC